rnacentral:pre_miRNA from 1 species
AAAACUUAGGUACAAUUUCUUAGGUGCUUUUCGUAUGGUUCUUAGCUAAAAAUACAUUUUUUUUUUAUAUAAUAAACUUUGAGAAAAUUAUGGAUUUGAGGAAAUCAUAAUGAAUUUAGUUAAGAACCAUACGAAAAGCACCUAUGAAAUUAUACCUAAAUUUU